GAUGAACGCUGGCGGCGUGCCUAACACAUGCAAGUCGAGGGAUUCUCUUCGGAGAAGAGCGGCGGACGGGUGAGUAACGCGUGGGUAACCUGCCCUGUACACACGGAUAACAUACCGAAAGGUAUGCUAAUACGAGAUAAUAUGCUUUUAUCGCAUGGUAGAAGUAUCAAAGCUUUUGCGGUACAGGAUGGACCCGCGUCUGAUUAGCUAGUUGGUAAGGUAACGGCUUACCAAGGCGACGAUCAGUAGCCGACCUGAGAGGGUGAUCGGCCACAUUGGAACUGAGACACGGUCCAAACUCCUACGGGAGGCAGCAGUGGGGAAUAUUGCACAAUAGGGCGAAAGCCUGAUGCAGCAA
rnacentral:rRNA from 1 species